GACGAACGCUGGCGGCGUGCUUAACACAUGCAAGUCGAACGGAAAGGCCCUGCUUUUGUGGGGUGCUCGAGUGGCGAACGGGUGAGUAACACGUGAGUAACCUGCCCUUGACUUUGGGAUAACUUCAGGAAACUGGGGCUAAUACCGGAUAGGCGCUCCUGCUGCCUGGUGGGGGUUGGAAAGUUUCGGCGGUUGGGGAUGGACUCGCGGCUUAUCAGCUUGUUGGUGGGGUAGUGGCUUACCAAGGCUUUGACGGGUAGCCGGCCUGGGAGGGUGACCGGCCACAUUGGGACUGAGAUGCGGCCCAGACUCCUACGGGAGGCAGCGGUGGGGAAGAUUGCACAAUGGGCGGAAGCCUGAUGCAGCAACGCCGCGUGCGGGAUGACGGCCUUCGGGUUGUAAACCGCUUUCGCCUGUGACGAAGCGUGAGUGACGGUAAUGGGUAAAGAAGCACCGGCUAACUACGUG
rnacentral:rRNA from 1 species